AUUGAACGCUGGCGGCAUGCCUUACACAUGCAAGUCGAACGGUAACAGGUCUUCGGAUGCUGACGAGUGGCGAACGGGUGAGUAAUGCAUCGGAACGUGCCCAGUUGUGGGGGAUAACUGCUCGAAAGAGCAGCUAAUACCGCAUACGACCUGAGGGUGAAAGCGGGGGAUCGCAAGACCUCGCGCAAUUGGAGCGGCCGAUGUCAGAUUAGGUAGUUGGUGGGGUAAAGGCCUACCAAGCCGACGAUCUGUAGUUGGUCUGAGAGGACGACCAGCCACACUGGGACUGAGACACGGACCAGACUCCUACGGGAGGCAGCAGUGGGGAAUUUUGGACAAUGGGCGCAAGCCUGAUCCAGCAAUGCCGCGUGCAGGAAGAAGGCCUUCGGGUUGUAAACUGCUUUUGUCAGGGAAGAAAUCCUCUGGGUUAAUACCCCGGGGGGAUGACGGUACCUGAAGAAUAAGCACCGGCUAACUACGUGCCAGCAGCCGCCGUAA
rnacentral:rRNA from 1 species